UCAUUCUGCAUGAUGAUGAGGAACUUUAUUUUGAUAAUAAUGACACUUUGCAUGAUGGUACAAUGGAUACAAAUUCCCAGCUGAAUGAGCUCGGUGAUUCAUCCACAGGAUCCUGUGUUUCUCAAGUUUCCAAUCCGUCGCUAAUGUAUAGCUUCCUCGGUGGGUUUAUCGCCGGCGUCACAUCUCUUACUCUCCUGCUCACCAUCAUCGCUCUGGUUGUCUAUACCAUUCGUAAACGAUGUCGACAUGCACCACUCGAUGUCAAAAGCGUGUCUGCGUUA